rnacentral:rRNA from 1 species
GACGAACGCUGGCGGCGUGCCUAAUACAUGCAAGUUGAGCGCUGAAGGUUGGUACUUGUACCGACUGGAUGAGCAGCGAACGGGUGAGUAACGCGUGGGGAAUCUGCCUUUGAGCGGGGGACAACAUUUGGAAACGAAUGCUAAUACCGCAUAAAAACUUUAAACACAAGUUUUAAGUUUGAAAGAUGCAAUUGCAUCACUCAAAGAUGAUCCCGCGUUGUAUUAGCUAGUUGGUGAGGUAAAGGCUCACCAAGGCGAUGAUACAUAGCCGACCUGAGAGGGUGAUCGGCCACAUUGGGACUGAGACACGGCCCAAACUCCUACGGGAGGCAGCAGUAGGGAAUCUUCGGCAAUGGACGAAAGUCUGACCGAGCAACGCCGCGUGAGUGAAGAAGGGUUUCGGAUCGUAAAACUCUGUUGGUAGAGAAGAACGUUGGUGAGAGUGGAAAGCUCAUCAAGUGACGGUAACUACCCAGAAAGGGACGGCUAGCUACGUG